AUUGAACGCUGGCGGAAUGCUUUACACAUGCAAGUCGAACGGCAGCACGGACUUCGGUCUGGUGGCGAGUGGCGAACGGGUGAGUAAUACAUCGGAACGUGCCCAGUCGUGGGGGAUAACGUAGCGAAAGCUACGCUAAUACCGCAUACGAUCUAAGGAUGAAAGCGGGGGAUCGCAAGACCUCGCGCGAUUGGAGCGGCCGAUGGCAGAUUAGGUAGUUGGUAGGGUAAAGGCCUACCAAGCCGACGGUCUGUAGCUGGUCUGGGAGGAUGAGCGGCCAGAAUGGGACUGGGGGACGGACCAGGCUCCUACGGGAGGCCGCAGAGGGGAAUAUUGGACAAUGGGGGCAAGCCUGAUACAGACAUUCCGCGUGCAGGAUGAAGGGCUUUGGGUUGGAAACUGUUUUUGGACAGAACGAAAAGGCUCUGGUUAAUACCCGGGGGUCAUGACGGUACUGUAAGAAUAAGCACCGGCUAACUACGUGCCAGCAGCCGCCGCCG
rnacentral:rRNA from 1 species